UACGGGGGGGGCAAGCGUUGUUCGGAAUUACUGGGCGUAAAGGGCUCGUAGGCGGCCAACUAAGUCAGACAUGAAAUCCCCAGGCUCAACCUGGGAACUGCGUCUGAUACUGGAUGGCUUGAAUUCGGGAGAGGGAUGCAGAAUUCCAGGUGUAGCGGUGAAAUGCGUAGAUAUCUGGAGGAACAUCAGUGGCGAAAGCGGCACCCUGGCAUUAGCCUGACGCUCAGGUGCGAAAGCGUGGGGAGCGAACGGGG
rnacentral:rRNA from 1 species